rnacentral:rRNA from 1 species
GAUGAACGCUGGCGGCGUGCCUAAUACAUGCAAGUCGAGCGAACAGACGAGGAGCUUGCUCCUCUGACGUUAGCGGCGGACGGGUGAGUAACACGUGGAUAACCUACCUAUAAGACUGGGAUAACUUCGGGAAACCGGAGCUAAUACCGGAUACUAUAUUGAACCGCAUGGUUCAAUAUUGAAAGACGGUUUUGCUGUCACUUAUAGAUGGAUCCGCGCCGCAUUAGCUAGUUGGUAAGGUAACGGCUUACCAAGGCAACGAUGCGUAGCCGACCUGAGAGGGGGUUGGGCCACAGGGGAACUGGGACACGGUCCAGAGUCCUACGGGAGGCAGCAGUAGGUAAUCUUCCGCAAUGGGAGAAAGCCUGACGGAGCAACGCCGCGUGAGUGAUGAAGGUCUGCGGAUCGUAAAACGCUGUUAUUAGGGAAGAACAAAUGUGUAAGUAACUAUGCACGUCUUGACGGUACCUAAUCAGAAAGCCACGGCUAACUACGUG